GAUUUCAAAAUGAAUUUGCUAAGUAUCUGUUUCAGGAAUACAUGUGUCCAAAAUAAAGAGACUGCUUGGACUGAAGGAAAAGCUGCAGAAUGAAUUCAAGCAGUAUUAGAGGAAGAAAAAAAAUCACAUAGAGGAAGUCUUUAUAGACAUUUUAGUGUGACAAAAACUUCACAGUUUGCAAUCAACUACAAACCACAAAUUGCAGGAGGCUGGACUUCAGUCAGGGAACUACCUCUGUAAAGACUUUGCAGACUGUGGGGACCAAGUCCAGCUGAGUUACCUGGAAAACUGAACCCUCUCAGCUGAUCCUGUUUCUAUCAUUACACAGAUUUUUCCUGAGCUGUGGUGCUGCCAUCACAACUUUUGAGACAGUGAUACUGGCCUGCCCAGUGAGAACAACCACAGGAAUGGUGAGCACUCUGCUGGUCUCUGACUGUUUGCAGCUCAAGACAGUGGAAGGUUCUGGGAAGCCCAUGUUGCCAGAAGAUGUCCUUGUCAUACCCUGGUUAGAAGUGCAACACACAUAACAGCUUAUACCCCAAAGAGCAUCGAGUUGAAGUGCACAAGUGGAUCCCACAAAAUAAAAGGCAAAUGAUGGGGGAAGAGUGGCUGCA
rnacentral:lncRNA from 1 species